CCUACGGGUUGCAGCAGUGGGGAAUAUUGCACAAUGGGCGCAAGCCUGAUGCAGCCAUGCCGCGUGUAUGAAGAAGGCCUUCGGGUUGUAAAGUACUUUCAGCGAGGAGGAAGGCAUUAAGGUUAAUAACCCUGGUGAUUGACGAUACUCGCAGAAGAAGCACCGGCUAACUCCGUGCCAGCAGCCGUGGUAAUACGGAGGGUGCAAGCGUUAAUCGGAAUUACUGGGCGUAAAGCGCACGCAGGCGGUCUGUCAAGUCGGAUGUGAAAUCCCCGGGCUCAACCUGGGAACUGCAUUCGAAACUGGCAGGCUAGAGUCUUGUAGAGGGGGGUAGAAUUCCAGGUGUAGCGGUGAAAUGCGUAGAGAUCUGGAGGAAUACCGGUGGCGAAGGCGGCCCCCUGGACAAAGACUGACGCUCAGGUGCGAAAGCAUGGGGAGCAAACAGGAUUAGAUACCGGGGUAGUC
rnacentral:rRNA from 1 species